UAAAUAUUUGAAUUGUAUACCUGCAAACAUUGAUGCAAUCGCGGCAAUAGCGAACGAGACUAUUACGGCAGGGCCUGCGAUCGUUUUCGAAACGGAGCCUGCGAGAACGUACACACCCACGCCGAGAGUCGAACCUAUACCGAGAGCCGUGAGAUCCAAUGUGGACAGACAUCUUGCCAAUCUUGUAUCCUGAGAAUAAUCCACCUCUUUCUUCCGACUAAACAUCUUGUACAAAGUUUUUAAUUUCCAGAUCUUCAUUUUACGAUAACGAACUGAAAGUAACGAAGUGUUAACAACACCGUGACAGAGAACGUCGGAAUUUUUAUGUUUUUACAUCAUAAAAGGCUAUACUGCAAUGAACGAUGGACUACACGGCACGAUAAAGAACAUUUCGAUUUGUGACUAAGAAGAAGCGUUAAUUAAAAUAUUUUUAAAUCAAGCUCAAAGAUCGGCCGUGGUGCGAGCAAAACAGAAUCAUUCAAUUGGUCGGAAUUGCUUCACCGCAAUUGAAUAGAUUAGAAUUGUUCAAUCUCAUCAAUAUCAGCCAUCUGCUCAUAAUAUUGAUCUUAACAUUAUAACUGAUACAAUCUGAUCAUUCUAUUGUUAUUUUGUUGAUUUUACUGAUAAGUUUAGAUAGUAUAAAAAGAAGUGGUUUCACACAUCAAAUAUUUUUCUUUCUUGAUCUUAUUCUUUCAACGUUUCAUCGUUUUUUAAUGCAAAUUAUAUCAUUUUACAUAUUUAUUUAUGAUAAAAAUUCUUCACAUUUAUGU